CAAGAGACUAGGCUGGGUGUUUAGCUCGCACCUGUAAACUCAAAUGGGCUUUAGAGUAGCUGAAUGCUGGAGAGCGGAUUAGUUUUUAGGAUUUGGUCCUGAUAUGUUCGUCGAUCCUUUGUCCUUAUGGAUUCAUUUAUUUGUGAACCGCAUCAGGCCAGGAAUGGAGCAGUGCUAAGUAUUUAAAUGGAUGUCUUAAGGGUAGCGAAGGGGAGAAUAUGUUGGGGUUAAACCGAAUCUUGGAUUCUAAUCUCAUCUCCAGAUGUCUCUUA
rnacentral:SRP_RNA from 1 species